rnacentral:rRNA from 1 species
UACGUAGGGACCAAGCGUUGUUCGGAUUUACUGGGCGUAAAGGGCGCGUAGGCGGCAAUUCAAGUCAGCUGUGAAAUCUCCGGGCUUAACUCGGAACGGUCAGCUGAUACCGCUCUGCUAGAGUGCAGAAGGGGCAAUCGGAAUUCUUGGUGUAGCGGUGAAAUGCGUAGAUAUCAAGAGGAACACCUGAGGUGAAGACGGGUUGCUGGGCUGACACUGACGCUGAGUGCGCGAAAGCUAGGGUAGCAAACGGG